rnacentral:rRNA from 1 species
UACGGAGGGGGCUAGCGUUGUUCGGAAUUACUGGGCGUAAAGCGCGCGUAGGCGGAUCUGCAAGUCGGGGGUGAAAUCCCGAGGCUCAACCUCGGAACUGCCUUCGAUACUGCGGGUCUCGAGUCCGGGGGAGGUGAGUGGAAUUCCUAGUGUAGAGGUGAAAUUCGUAGAUAUUAGGAAGAACACCAGUGGCGGAGGCGGCUCACUGGCCCGGUACUGACGCUGAGGCGCGAAAGCGUGGGGAGCAAACAGG